GGGAGAGAGCGGAGAGAGGGCGGGAAUGGAAGGUUAAGAUUGGGACAGGAGGGUGGGGAAUGGGGGAGAGAGCGGAGAGAGGGCGGGAAUGGAAGGUUAAGAUUGGGACAGGAGGGUGGGGAAUGGGGGAGAGAGCGGAGAGAGGGCGGGAAUGGAAGGUUAAGAUUGGGACAGGAGGGUGGGGAAUGGGGGAGAGAGCGGAGAGAGGGCGGGAGGAAUAAGAGGAUGGGAUAGCGAGGAAUGGGAGGGGAGUGGGAGGAGGUGACAAAGAGAUGUAAAAGAAUCUGAUACCUUCAGUGUUCUCCCUGUCUCCCGGCAACAGUGCCACCAAGCUCAUUACACUUCCAAAUGCCGCUGCUGCUGUAUCCUCUUCCCCCUGGGCCUCCCCG
ensembl:lncRNA